UAGAGGAGGAUUUCAGGUUUAUCAGUGGGAGGAGACACAGAAAGUCAAUUUCAAAGCUAUCCUCCUGGUAUACACAGUAGAUAAGGGACACUCGGGCUGUGCUGACAUACUGUUGCCAGACCUGUAGGGCCAUCAUCCCCUUGUCAACAAGAUUCCUCACAGAGAGAAGUGAUUCAACAUGCAGGUACCUGCAGUUUCGAAUCCUCCUCGUUUGUCAGUACCAAACCCCCUACAAAGACAGACAUGACAAACUAACAAUUGGACGAGGAAAACCAGUGAAAGGAUGAUGAGUGAAUCGUGUGCAGGAUUUUGAUAUUAUUUAUCAUGUCUGUUCAGGCGUGACAGGACCCAGAUUUCCAGCGGUGUGAUGUUGAUAUCGCUGUGUUAAGUUCCUAAAUGUGUUUUUACCUGACAGUAUUGACGAGAUCAAAGAAUCAAAGAGCCUGUCCAGCAAGGACUAUCGGAUGACGACUCAUUUCCCUGAAUUGUGUCUUUAUUGAUGUGUUGAAGAGUUCUUUUUAAUACGGACGACCAACGUGUGCUGACAGGGAUGUUUGUAGCACGAUGAUCUUUCUCCGUUCAAUAGGAUAAGGAUUUUCAUUUAAUACAGCAUAAUCACUAUGCAAACAAAAAUUUUAUUCAAUUUUCAUUUGUUGGUGUUGAACAGAAUCACUUUAGCUGCAAUUUACUGACUAAAUCAAUAGAAUUAAUGUCCGAUUACCAGCCAAUUUAGAUAGCCGCUAACGUUCAACAUAAUACUAAUAACUGCAUGAUAACAGAAAUUUUAUUGAACACCAAACCGUAGGAUCCCUUCAGAACAAAGGAUGAUAGGAAAACAUAUCAUUUGCUGGGAUUGUCGGAAGGAUUAAGCGAUAUGCAGGAUAUCCAUCACGAAGCAAAAACUGAAACACAAGUACGAAAAUAACAAAAUGGCUUCCCCUACAGAUUAGAUCUGUAUGGAAACAGCUUUGUUAAUUUGUUUAAUACGUGAAGAAUUUAGUCAUUAUAAUGAAUGAAGUGGGCCAAUUUAAC